rnacentral:rRNA from 1 species
AUACGGAGGGUGCAAGCGUUAUUCGGAAUCACUGGGCGUAAAGGACACGUAGGCGGGAAGCCAAGUCUGAUGUGAAAUCCUAUGGCUCAACCAUAGAACUGCAUUGGAAACUGGUUACCUAGAGUAUGGGAGGGGGAGAUGGAAUUAGUGGUGUAGGGGUAAAAUCCGUAGAUAUCACUAGGAAUACCUAAAGCGAAGGCGAUCUCCUGGAACAUUACUGACGCUAAGGUGUGAAAGCGUGGGGAGCAAACGGGAUUAGAUACCCCAGUAGUCC